rnacentral:rRNA from 1 species
CCUUGAGGUGGGGGACAACAGUUGGAAACGACUGCUAAUACCGCAUAAUGUCUACGGACAAAAGGGGGCUUCGGCUCUCGCCUUUAGAUUGGCCCAAGUGGGAUUAGCUAGUUGGUGAGGUAAUGGCUCACCAAGGCGACGAUCCCUAGCUGGUUUGAGAGGAUGAUCAGCCACACUGGGACUGAGACACGGCCCARACUCCUACGGGAGGCAGCAGUGGGGAAUAUUGCACAAUGGGCGCAAGCCUGAUGCAGCCAUGCCGCGUGUGUGAAGAAGGCCUUCGGGUUGUAAAGCACUUUCAGUCAGGAGGAAAGCGUGGUGGUUAAUACCCAUCAUGUGUGACGUUACUGACAGAAGAAGCACCGGCUAACUCCGUGCCAGCAGCCGCGGUAAUACGGAGGGUGCGAGCGUUAAUCGGAAUUACUGGGCGUAAAGCGUACGCAGGCGGUUUGUUAAGCGAGAUGUGAAAGCCCCGGGCUCAACCUGGGAACUGCAUUUCGAACUGGCAAACUAGAGUGUGAUAGAGGGUGGUAGAAUUUCAGGUGUAGCGGUGAAAUGCGUAGAGAUCUGAAGGAAUACCGAUGGCGAAGGCAGCCACCUGGGUCAACACUGACGCUCAUGUACGAAAGCGUGGGGAGCAAACGGGAUUAGAUACCCCGGUAGUCCACGCCGUAAACGAUGUCUACUAGAAGCUCGGAGCCUCGGUUCUGUUUUUCAAAGCUAACGCAUUAAGUAGACCGCCUGGGGAGUACGGCCGCAAGGUUAAAACUCAAAUGAAUUGACGGGGGCCCGCACAAGCGGUGGAGCAUGUGGUUUAAUUCGAUGCAACGCGAAGAACCAUACCUACACUUGACAUACAGAGAACUUACCAGAGAUGGUUUGGUGCCUUCGGGAACUCUGAUACAGGUGCUGCAUGGCUGUCGUCAGCUCGUGUUGUGAGAUGUUGGGUUAAGUCCCGCAACGAGCGCAACCCCUAUCCUUAGUUGCUAGCAGGUAAUGCUGAGAACUCUAAGGAGACUGCCGGUGAUAAACCGGAGGAAGGUGGGGACGACGUCAAGUCAUCAUGGCCCUUACGUGUAGGGCUACACACGUGCUACAAUGGCGCAUACAGAGUGCUGCGAACCUGCGAAGGUAAGCGAAUCACUUAAAGUGCGUCGUAGUCCGGAUUGGAGUCUGCAACUCGACUCCAUGAAGUCGGAAUCGCUAGUAAUCGCGUAUCAGAAUGACGCGGUGAAUACGUUCCCGGGCCUUGUACACACC